rnacentral:tRNA from 1 species
CAAUAGCUCAGCUGGUAGAGCAGGAGACUCUUAAUCUCUUGGUCGUGGGUUCGAAUCCCUCUUGGU